rnacentral:rRNA from 1 species
UACAGGGGGGGCAAGCGUUGUUCGGAAUUACUGGGCGUAAAGGGCUCGUAGGCGGCCAACUAAGUCCGACGUGAAAUCCCAAAGCUUAACUUUGGAACUGCGUCGGAUACUGGAUGGCUUGAAUUCGGGAGAGGGAUGCAGAAUUCCUGGUGUAGCGGUGAAAUGCGCAGAUAUCAGGAGGAACACCGAUGGCGAAGGCAGGUCUCUGGACAUUAACUGACGCUGAGGAGCAAAAGCAUGGGGAGCGAACAGG